rnacentral:lncRNA from 1 species
ACACUUUCAGCACAAACGUAUCUGGUCAGACACUUUGGUGGUGGAGCUAAGUGACCUUGCUCACUGUAGCUUCAGGCAGCUUGGAGUUUGUUAGUCUCAAGUUAAAAGUUACUUGUCUGAUGUUGCUUUGAACGCUCACCUCUCUCCCCAAAAUUUCGGUAGGGAGCCUGGCUACUCAGUGAAGCCCAAGGGAAGGAGCUCAGGCUUACAGUGCCAUUUAAUACACGUCAAAUGUUAAUUUAGUAUUAAAUCAGGGUGCAAAGAGCCUCUAGAAGUCCAGGCAUAUAUUGUUCAAAUGGCUGCGUUCCCUUCAUUUUUAAUUCACAUCACAAAAACAAACAAGUAAAACUUCACUUGGAAAAACACUAACUGUUAAAGUAUCCUAAAUUCGAAAAUACUAUGAUUAUAUUGGAGGGGUCUGGCAAGCAAUUCCUUUUCUGGGUUAGAAAGUAAGAUGAGAACUUUUCCCAGAAAGGUUUGCUUUGGAGUCUCCAGCGCUGAGGUCCCCAUUCCACAGCGGCGAGGUCCUCCUCUCACCCCCACCCCCAACAUUCCUGUGAUUUGUGGGCACGAGAAGCGACUUCUCCCGAAUCUCCGGCCAUUUUGGGGGCCCCAGGGCUAAGCUCGGCUUCCUUAGAUCGCAUUCUAACGGCGUUUUAUUUUAUUUAGGGCACAGUUUGCAUAAUAAAAUUAAAAGGAUCCCAUUACUCCCCUUUUCUCUCUGAGCACUGCCCAGCAAGGUCUUUCAGACUGUUAUUUGAACAUCUAGAGCGGCCUUCAGAAGUCGAAUUAGCAUUGCUUUUCUAUGGGAAAGAAAAAGGGAAAGAGGUAAAUAGGGCAAAGUGAGAAGCGGGUAAGGUACAAGGAGUGAGGUGGAUUAAAACAUGCAGGGAGCGGUGAAGGAGACUGGGGACAGAAGAGGACAAGAGAGGAGAUGGGGCAGCAGGGAGGCGAAGAGAUAAACGCUGAGUCACCCUAACAGGUCAUUGGGUACACAGGAGCGAGAUGCUGCAGCCCAGGAAAAUCCGGGUGCAAAUCGCACCCCAUCUUCUGGGCCUCCUUCCCGCCAAGCCGUAGGAGCGCCGGCUUGGAGCUCGGCGCCGCCCGCUUGCCUUUGUCACUGAUUCGGUGCGCGGCCGCGGGCUCCUGCGGCGGGCUUUGUUCCGGCGGAGCAGGGCAGGACCCCUCGCACCGCCGCGUCCCCGCCCUCCCCGAGCUGGGGACGGUGGGGGUGGGGACUGCACUACAGGGACCGGGAACAGAGGAGCAACGGCGGGCGCCUCUGAGCCUGGGAUUUCGUUCCUUGGCUCCUCUUCGUAAUUGAGCUGUUCUUCCUUCGGGGAGGGGGCCGCGGCUGCGCGGGAGGAGGAAGAGCUGGAAGGGGGGGUACCCGCUCUCAGCCCGCAGCAAGGGCGAGGCGCAGCUCUCCGUGCCGGCGUCCCGGGAUUUGUAUUGCAUGCAUGUACGCAUGCAGGGAUGGAUGGAUGCAUGUAUGGACGAGGAAAACCGAUGAAUUGGGUCCCAUGUUCUAGGUUUCCGGUCGAGCUUUUGGCAGCUGCAGGGCGCCUCAGGUCGGUGCCUGGUUAACCCCUAAGAUCUGCUCUCGAGGUGUUUGGGGGCCGCGGGUGGGCGCUGUGGACGCGCCCCGGGUCGAGGGCUGCCCACCGGCCGCGCGCAGAUCCCACCGUGGAGGCCCGCGGCGGGGGACAAAGGCGGACACCCCGAGCAAGCAAAGGGCGGGCGCACACAGGCACUCACGCACCCACGCGCUCUCUCGCCCGGGCCCCUCCCGGUGAGCCCCCGCGCCUGGGAGUCAGGGCUCUGCGCUUGAAAAGUUCGCUUCAUGUAGACGCUGCUCCCUCCUCUCGCCACUGCAUUUAGCAAGCGGUGUGUGAACGUGUAUCACCCUCUCCCCAGCCACCCCCAAAGGUGUGGGCAGAUUGCAAGAGUUACUGCUCUGUUAUUGUUUGUCAAAUAGGGUCCUUCUCUUGGGAGAGGGUCGAGGGGCAUGUGGCGGAUCCCGGGCCAGGAUUACAUUAAUCAAAGCAUUAUUUCCCCAGAGAAGCGGAGCACAAAUGAGAGUAAAUCCUAAUAAAAUUGGAUCGCGGAGAAAUGGAACGCUUUAAGUCAUCUGUGCUGACUGAUAAAAAUCUCACAUUUACAAGAUGUGGGUCUUAAAAAAAAUCCGCACACCUCUGGCCUCGGCUUGGCUGGUGGGUCCAGGUCAGGGUGGGGGACAGACACUACACGAAGCUCAGCUGAACUUCUGAAGUGAGAAAGGAAGCUGGACACCCAUUCGGAGUUUCACAAGCUCAGGUCUGCUCAGGAGGCAUCUUCGGCCCUGGGAACCCCUCUGGAGUGUUUGCGGAACCCGUGGGUCCGACGGAGUCCCCAUCAGUGCCCUGAGAGGUCUGGAACUCUGUUCCUCUGGGAACGUGGCCCCCACUUUCCCCUUCGAACUCUGCUGCGGAACGGGCAACUCCCAUGGGUGGGGGCGCAAAGCCCCACUGAGUGGGACGGCGGACGCGGCCUACCGGCUGGGCAGGGACCAGACACCCCAACGCUGCGCCCGCAGCAGAUUCGCGAGUACCCCCCAACCCCGCCCGGGUCUCCACCCUAGGGCCCGCCAGGUCCGCGGGGCCGUUUCCUAGGCAACCUGGGGUUCCUUCGGCCAGGGGAAGGGUGUGCGUUUGGGAUGAUUGCCGGGGAAGCCGAGGGCGCUGCUCGCCAGCGAGACUUCUGGUACAUUCGGCCAUCCCAGCAGGGAAACAAGGCUCUCGAUCCAUCCACCUUCGUCCCUCAAGUGGUAGGAAACUUUCCGACGCCUCCCGCGGCUCUGCCAGGAGAGAAGAGACAAGCUCCCCCUCCCAACCCCUUAGUAAUGACUGAGUCUAGCGAAGCUAGCCAGCCGGGAGGCAAACUCCCCCUGCCGCCCCGAGGCCUCCUCCAGCCGCUGAGACUGGAAAGCGGACUUGCGACGCCACGCCGGCCGUCGUUGGUGACAAGUGUGACAACACCGUCCCGGUCCUACGGCUGCCUGAAAAUCAUAUGCGUGGUUUUUCCUGUUUCCUGCUCUGUAGCUGACAUCAGGGGAGCAACGUGAACACAGGAAAAUGGAAAUCAACAUUUGAAACUUUUAAAUGGAAGCUUUAUUGGGGUUCCACAUAUGGAAAACUGCAAAUAGCAGAAGUAUGUGACUCAAUAAAUUAUUCUGGAGUGACCACAUCCUCUAACUGCCUCCCAGGACAAGACGGAGAAUGUGAACAAUGCUCCUGAAGGCCCCUUUCCCUCAAAGAAUCACUGCAAUUGAAGGAAAAAUGCUCCAUGUCCCCUCUGCCAGUUGGUGUUUAUCAAAGGACAACGGAGGAAGAGAGACAAAGUGCCUGGAUGUGUGUGUUAAUCAAGAGUUGUCAGGACCCUGCCUCUAAAAGAAAGCGCUAAAAUGAUGCUUUUGACAAGACUUUUCUCAAAGUGGAUGCAGUCUAAGGGUUGGAAAACAAGGCCCAAUCAGGCUAGGUCUGACUUGUCG